rnacentral:lncRNA from 1 species
CACCUGGAGCAGGUCCCGCACGGUCUCUGCAAAGCCCACCGUGUGCAUGGCCACACCCACGGCAUUGGCGAAAGCGAAAAUGAGGCCGAUGGAGCCCCCAAGCUCUGGGCCCAGACUCCGGGAGAUGAGGAACACCUGACUUGACCUUGCCAUUGGUGGAGAUGGCUGAGAUGGAGAGGCCUGUGAUGGAGGUCACCGUGACCGACAGCAGGAUGAUGAUCCAGGUC